UGAAGCGCAAGGGUGUCUACAUCCGAAUUUCAUUUCAGCGAGAUGGCGUAGGACGCCUCGGUGCCCAAGAACCCAAUGAAUGUUAAGUUUGAAAGCAUUUCUGACAGCUCUACUGAUUUGCCUCAGUCAGGCAAUUACUAAAAGAAUUAUUGUGCACCUUGGGGUACUUGACAGCCUCCCAGGAGAAGGCAGCAGCUGCUCAAACGUGCAAGGACGCCGUCUCAGUAUCACUCAGUGAUGGAGGGAGGGGGGUAUUAUGAUUUUCUCCUGUCUCUUGGAGGUUACACUGCAGUAGCGAGAACUGAAAUGCAGUACAAGGAACAAGGAUAAGUGAAAUAGACAGUCAGUCCGCAGAUAUUUAUGGAACACCUGCUAUGUGUCAGGCAUUGUGCUAGGUUCUAGGAAUACAAAAGUGAACAAAACGAAGUCCCUUCCCUUGGAAACCUUACAUUCUAAGAAAAUCGACAGAAUUGAAUGUAUCCAACGCAAUAAAUAUAUGAAGACUUGUGAUAAAUGAGAUGAAGGAAAAUAACAGGGUCUAUGAGAGAGACUAAAGGGGUAAGAAACUAAUUGAAUUGUAUGGUCAGGCCAAGCCUCUCUAAAUGACCUUUCAUUUGAGAUCCGAAGGAUGACGAGGAGUCAUCCAGAAGAACAGUAUGGGAAAGAACUCCUGAAAAAGGAAGAAACAGCAGCUUUUAGAAGACAUGUGCUGGGCACGGUGGCUCACGCCUGUAACCCCAGCACUUUGGGAGGCUGAGGCAGGAGGAUCACUUGAGGAGUUAGAACAUCCUGGGCAACAUAGCAAGACCUCAUCUCUAUUAAAUAUCAAAAAAAUUAGCCGGGCGUGGUGGCGCAUGCCUGUAGUCCCAGCUGCUCGACAGGCUAAGGUGGGAGGAUCUCUUGAGCCCAAGAAGUCGAGGCUGCAGUGAGCUAUGAUUGUGCCACUGCACUCCAGCCUGGGUGGCAGAGCGAGACCCUGUUUCAAAAAAAAAAAAAAAGCAAAACAAAAAAACAAACAAAAACCAUAGGCUCAAGUGACCCUCCUGCCUCAGCCUCCUGAGUAUCUGGAACUACAGAUGCUCACCACCACGCCCAGCUAGAAUAAAAGAAAUUCUUAUUGAUUCUUAUGGAGUGGACUUACUCAUCACACUUGCCUCCAGAACAACCAAGUUUAAAGUUGUGAUUUUUAGGAAAACGCUGCUACCUUUGGACAAGCAAUAGAAGAGAAUUUAUUUUAGGGCAUGCAUCAAAAGUACUACACCAAAAAUUAUAAUACCAAGAGAUUAAACUGGGGGAGUUGUAUGUAGGAGAUUAUAGAAGGUAUGAUAACAGACAUUCCGGGUACACUUGGAGACAAGCUUUACUUCCUGCUCAGAGCACUUCACUCUGUUCCCACUCCAUUCCAUGUCACAUGUCUAGGAUCCAGGGAUUAUAGACCAGAGUGACAUUUGACAACCAGCCAUUCCCCUGUUCUCAGUCUCUGGUAGUAAAUAGAAGCACUCACAAAAAUUUCAAAGAUGAGGCUGGGCUGGCCUAAAGACCUCAGGUGGAUAAAUACUACCACCAUGUCCAUUUUAGUGGUACUGUUGCUGAACUAAGACCUAGAGGCACCAGAAUAUUACCAAAUCUGGAAAUAAGGGGACAGUAUGGGUUAGGACCCAUGGAUAAGGCUGCACAAUGUGAAAUGGUCUCAUUAUACUGCCCCCUGUAUUGGCAUCUUACUGUCUUUCCCUUAGUUAUAUUUUGGGAAAUAAAUGGUCUGAUAAGGUCAGGGUUAUAUCUAAGGAUUCAGCCUUUGUCACAAAGAGUUUCUUUGCAGGAGAGCUGGAAACUUAACGCUUCAAUCCUGAAGACUGUGCUAUUGAAAGAAUAGCUGGGACAGUUUUGUGACAAAUUGUUGCAUCUGUCACAGAUGCACCUAAAGCAAUUGCAAACUGUAUUUUAGAAAUAAAAAUUCAUCUCUGAAAUUCAGUCUCCUCUGCAGUGGGAUCCAAAAGAUGUGAAUAGGAACAUGGGCAAGAGUCUCCGGCAGGAUAGUGUGUUCUCAUUCAAUUAAUGUUUAUUGAGUACAGGGUAAGUGCUGGGCACUGAGCUAAGUGCUAAGGAGACAGCAGUGAACAAGCCAGACACAGUCUCUGCCAUUAUGGGUCUCAUGACUUACCAGAAAAAACAUUAAACAGUAAUGACAGAAUUGACUCUUUCAUGACAGUUGGGAGAAAUGGGAUGAGGCAGAAAGAAGCAUGGAGUGUGUGAGCUUGCAUGAUGGGGGGACCCUAAGGUAGCCUGGAAGGUCUGGAAAGACUCCCAUGAGGAAGUGAGUUAAUUAAUCCAGGGGAUGAGAACAUCCCAGGCAGAGGAAACCCAGUGACAACACCAAAUCAAGUGAAACCAGCAAUGAAAAAUAUGUGGGGUUUGUACUCCAUGUAAGCAUCAAGAAGACCUGGAUCAAAUAGCCCACUAGUUGUCCCUCCUCUUGGUUUAAUAAAACCACUCAUUCAAGAAGCAGAAUGAACAUAAAUAUUAAUGGUGCUAUAGAGAAUGAUAUAUUUAGAGAGAAAACUCUUAGUCAUGAUAAUAGCAACUCCAGCUUGGACUGCAG
rnacentral:lncRNA from 1 species